rnacentral:rRNA from 1 species
AGUUCGAUCAUGGCUCAGAUUGAACGCUGGCGGGAUGCUUUACACGGCAUGCAAGUCCGAACAUAUGCGGACUUCAGGUCUGGUGGCGAGUGGCGAACGGGUGAGUAAUGUAUCCGGAACGUGCCUAAUGCUUGAGGGAUAACUACGCAGCGUGGCUAAUACAUACGCCCUUCAGGGGAAAGCGGGGGACCUUCGGGCCUCAUAUUAGAGCGGCCGAUAUCGGAUUAGCUAGUUGGUGGGAGUAACGGCUCACCAAGGCGACGAUCCGUAGCUGGUUUGAGAGGACGACCAGCCACACUGGGACUGAGACACGGCCCAGACUCCUACGGGAGGCAGCAGUGAGGAAUUUGGACAGGAAAACCCUGAUCCAGCCAUCCCGCGUGUGCGAUGAAGGUAUUCCGGGUUGUAAGCACUGGCUGCAGGGAAAGAAACGGCACAGGAUAAUACCCCGUGCAACUGACGAACACCUGCAGAAUAAGCACCGGCCUAACUACGUGCCAGCAGCCGCGGUAAUACGUAGGGUGCAAGCGUUAAUCGGAAUUACUGGGCGUAAGGCGCAACAGUUCGGAAAAAGUGUGAAAUCCCAGAGCUUAACUUUGGAACUGCAUUUUUAACUACCGAGCUAGAGUGUGUCAGAGGGAGGUGGAAUUCCGCGAUGUAGCGAGUGAAGUAUGAAUAUGGGAAGAACACCAGUGAUGGCGAAGGCAUCCUGGGUCAACACACAAGCCAUGGCACAGCGUGGGAGCAAACGGGAUUAGAUACCCUGGUAGUCCACGCCCUAAAACGAUGUCAACUGGCUAUUUAGGGCCUUCGGGCCUUGGUGGCGCAACUAACGCGUGAAGUUGACCGCCUGGGAAGUACGGUCGCAAGAUUAAAACUCAAAGGAAUUGACGGGGACCCGCACAAGCGGUGGAUGAUGUGGAUUAAUUCAGUACAACGCGAAAAACGCUUACCUACCCUUGACAUGUCUGGAAUCCCGAAGAAGAGAUUUGGGAGUGCUCGCAAGAGAACGGAACACAGGUGCUGCAUGGCUGUCGUCAGCUCGUGUCUGAGAUGUUGGGUUAAGUCCCGCAACGAGCGCAGCCUGUCGUCAGUUGCUACGAAAGGGCACUCUAAUGCCUGAGACUGCGGUGGCAAACCGGAGAAGGUAGGGAUGACGUCAAGUCCUCAUGGCCCUUAUGGGUAGGGCUUCACACGUCAUACAAUGGUGGGACAGAGGGUCGCCAACCCGCGAGGGAGCCAAUCCCAGAAACCCGAUCGUAGUCCGGAUCGCAGUCUGCAACUCGACUGCGUGAAGUCGGAAUCUAUAGUAAUCGCCGGAUCAGCAUGUCGCGGUGAAUACGUUCCGGGUCUUGUACACACCGCCCGUCACACCAUGGGAGUGGGUUUACAGAAGUAGUUAGCCUAACCGUAAAGGAGGGCGAUUACCACAGUAGAGGAUUCAUGACUGGGGUGAAGUCGUAAGCAAGGUAA